GGGUCUGUAGCUCAGUCGGUUAGAGCACCUGCCUCUUAAGCAGGGUGUCGUGGGUUCGAGUCCCACCAGGCCCA
rnacentral:tRNA from 1 species